CGAGGAACCGAGGUCCUGCACCUGGGAGGGAUCCUGGAUAGACACCCGCAGGGGCCCUCCUCUCAGGCAGCCAAAGGGCGUGACUUUCCCACUCAGGACUGGCUUUAAAGAAUAAUGAGCGACAGCAACUGAAGUCCCCCUGCUAAGAUCAUCUCCCAGGACCAACGGGACUUAAGGGGAAGGGGGUGCUGGACAGAGAUUCAGGUCUGAGCUCCGUUUGUUUGUUUCACUAGGAAUCAUGGGAGGAGCGGGUGGAGGCUGGCUGUAAAGUCUUGGGUAUCUUUCCCCAGGGAAGGAGCGGGCAGUUGUGAAGGGCGUGCUCCCUGCCAGUCAUUUCGCCACCGACUGUAAACGUGGUGCUGUGAUACCCCAUCUACAGACGAGGACAUCAAGGUUUGGAGGGGCAAUGGACCCAAACCGAGGGCAGAGCCCCGUUCCAGCCCAGAUCGGAAUGCUUCUCCCCCCUCCCCCCACCCCCCACCCCCCACCAUAUGCUGUCACCCUGGUGAGCUGAAAAGAUCGGGGUACCUCAGAGGAAGAAGGAUGAAUGCAAAUUAGGUGUGAUCCUUCUCUGGUUGCAAAUGACACUAAAGCCAAGAAGCCAAGGCACAUAAAGCCAUCAAAGGAGCCUGAACAAAUCCUCCCCCAAGACUGUGCCAGAUCCCAGGUGCAGGCCACCUGCAGGAUCUCCCGCAUUUUGCAAGAGCGUCACUCAUCGCUGCCUGUUUGAUGUGGUUUAGGUUUUAUACAAGGAGGGGGAGUCGCUGUAAAUUCCUGGGAGUCAGUGGCCUGGAUUAGGAACAAGUGCCGCUCCUAGAAUAUUAACAAGCCGUGGGAGUUGCCCCACGCCAAGUCAUGAGAAGGGACAGGUGAGCCGUAGACACGGCUGCUUAGACAGCUCCAGGUCUGCGCUCUGAUUCGGGCUCAGCGCAUUCUGAACUCUGGCUUUCCCAUCCACCAAAUGGGGAUGUGUCGGGUGUCUGUCCCCUAGGCUGCUAGGAUGCCCCGGGGUGCGUUCACAUCUCUGUCCUGACAUCAGGGACUAACUGCUUCACCAUUGUGCCCAAACUCCUGGCACUCAGGAGUGAAAUCAUGGAUGAAUGAAUAAAUGAAUGAAUGCAUGGAGAACACCAGUCUUCUGGAGCUGGCUGGAGCUCCAAGAAUAGACUGUUAUAGUUUUGGGAAUUCUGUGAGCCCACUGUUACAUUAUAGGUGCCUUGAACUUGACCUUGCAGGAGUAUUUACAGUACGGAAAUUGGCAAAUCCUACCCACCAGGACUUCCUUUCCUCCUGCCUUCUCAGAGAGCAAGCAGAACACUGGCUAGCAUCCGGGCAGGCCCUGUGUGCAGCAUUCUGCAAAUAGGAAUCCCCGCAGCCACUCGGUGAGGAAGGCGCAGGUGGGAAUGUCCUUUCACAGGUGGGAAAGCUGAGGCCCUGGGAGGUUACGGCACUUGCCCAAGAAUGGUUCUGUGGCAGAGAAGAAGGAAGACCGCCCUCGCUGUCCUCUUCUUGGUGGCCACUGUGGUGUCACAGGAACCAGCCACGUGAAUCCUGCUGGUGCAGGAAAGAGCGUUAUAUAUUUUCAGCCACUGCUUUAAUCAGCUCCUGCAGGAGGGUGGUCCUCCGGGAGAAGAGAGGCAGUUGCCUGGUGACUAAAGUGCCUCCCCGUCCUGGAAGGUCACCCUGUGUUAAGGGAGGGUGCCGCUCACCCCCUGAGGCGGGCCUCCCCCAGGGGCUCCGGGCCCCCAGUCCAAUCAGCCCGCAGCUGCCUCCUGCCUCCUAGAGCAACUGACCUCGCUGGGUCUUGCUGUUGACAAGACAUCAGGGUCGCGGGUAGGACUGAAUGACAGCGCCAUGUUCUAGAAC
rnacentral:lncRNA from 1 species